AUGUUUCUCGUAUGCAUUAUAAAAAAGAAUAAAAUCCUUGCAUGGUAUCUUCGUCGCGGAGUCAUUCUUACUAAAGAUAACUUUAUUAAGAGGAAUUGGCAUGGAAGUCCGCAAUGUGUCUUUUGUCACCAUGAUGAGACAAUAAAACAUUUAUUCUUUCAAUGCAAAUUGGCUCGUUCUAUAUGGUCAGUCAUCCAAAUAGCUUCUGGUUUGUAUCCUCCUUGUAGUGUUGCUAAUGUAUUUGGCAACUGGUUACACGGGAUUGAUCACAGGUUUAGAACUUUUCUCAGGGUGGGAGCGCUUGCCGUUAUUUGGUCGCUUUGGCUAUGUAGAAAUGAUAAGGUUUUUAACGAUAAAAGUACUUCCCUGAUGCAGGUUCUCUACAGAUGUACCGGGACUCUUCGUUUAUGGUCCUCUCUACAACGCGUGGAGAAUCAAGACCUGUUUACGAAGGUGUGUACACGAUUGGAGGCUACGGCGAGGGAUACUUUUACCCAGCAUGGGUGGCAACAUGAUCUUAGGAUUGACCCCCCUCCGCUUUAG
rnacentral:rRNA from 1 species